GCCCACGUAGCUCAGGGGAUAGAGCAACGGUUUCCUAAACCGCAGGUCGCAAGUUCGAUUCUUGCCGUGGGUACAA
rnacentral:tRNA from 1 species